rnacentral:lncRNA from 1 species
UAAAAUAAAAUAAAUAUAUAAAUGUUAGAGAGUACGCGUAGGUAAGAAUAAAAUGAUUUCGAGAUAUUGGAGAGGAAUAAUCGAAAGUAUCUCGAAAGGUAAAGUAAGAAGUAGAUGUGGUAGAUGUUCUCAGGAUGGAUAAAGAUGAUUCGGGGAUGAGAACGAGCUAGAGGGAGGGUCUGUACGAUUCGUGAUACGCCCCGCGUUAUAUGCUUGCGCUUCUUCGAACGAACCGUUCAGUUAGAUUCAAGCCGCGAACGAGUGAAAUAUUUCUACGUAAGGUUUAAGUGAGUUUUCCCCAGUGACGUUGUAAACACACGGUAGA